rnacentral:pre_miRNA from 1 species
AGUGGAAUUGCUGGGUCAUAUGGUAACUCUAUGUUUAACUUUUUGAGGAACUGCCAAACUUGUUUUCCAAAGUGGUUGUACCAUUUUACAUUCCCGCCAGCAAC